AAGUCGUAACAAGGUAUCCGUAGGUGAACCUGCGGAAGGAUCAUUAACACGUAUCCACGUAUCAACCAAUGAGAACUCGUUUUCCCCCUCCCUUUGCAAAUUAGAAUGAAUUGGAACCAGUCUGAAGGAAUGAUGUGGGCUGCGAGGCCAGCCUUCCUGGUAUACCUAUAGUCGGCGCAAGUCGGCUAUUGACAAUUGUAUCUUUUAUGCGAGGCAAAAUUUCUUUCAGCACUUUGAUCUCACAUCAUGGUCCGAGGUGCUGGAGGAGAACAACCUAUAAACCAUUUUCACCCCCUUUUUGCUAGUUGACUUUUUAUAUGUGAUCGUUUUGCGCAAGCAAUGUGGUCGCACGUUUAAUUACUUGAACGUUAAAAAAUACAACUCUUAGCAAUGGAUAUCUUGGUUCUC
rnacentral:misc_RNA from 1 species